rnacentral:rRNA from 1 species
GACGAACGCUGGCGGCGUGCUUAACACAUGCAAGUCGAACGGAAAGGCCCUGCUUUUGUGGGGUGCUCGAGUGGCGAACGGGUGAGUAACACGUGAGUAACCUGCCCUUGACUUUGGGAUAACUUCAGGAAACUGGGGCUAAUACCGGAUAGGAUCUCCUGCUGCAUGGUGGGGGUUGGAAAGUUUCGGCGGUUGGGGAUGGACUCGCGGCUUAUCAGCUUGUUGGUGGGGUAGUGGCUUACCAAGGCUUUGACGGGUAGCCGGCCUGAGAGGGUGACCGGGCACAUUGGGACUGCGAUACGGCCCAGACUCCUACGGGGGGCAGCAGUGGGGAAUAUGGCACAAUGGGCGGAAGCCGGAGGCAGAAACGCCGCGUGCGGGAUGACGGCCUUCGGGUUGUAAACCGCUUUCGCCUGUGACGAAGCGUGAGUGACGGUAAUGAGUAAAGAAGCACCGGCUAACUACGUG